rnacentral:rRNA from 1 species
UACGUAGGGUGCGAGCGUUGUCCGGAAUUACUGGGCGUAAAGAGCUCGUAGGUGGUUUGUCGCGUUGUUCGUGAAAUCUCACGGCUUAACUGUGAGCGUGCGGGCGAUACGGGCAGACUAGAGUACUGCAGGGGAGACUGGAAUUCCUGGUGUAGCGGUGGAAUGCGCAGAUAUCAGGAGGAACACCGGUGGCGAAGGCGGGUCUCUGGGCAGUAACUGACGCUGAGGCACGAAAGCUAGGGGAGCAAACAGG